UUUUUUCAGAAACGGUCCAUUUCAUUUAUAUUGAAUUUAUCUAUUACUUUACGGAUGCACUGUAUAAAUAGUUUGCCUUUACGAUUUUAGAUACUCUAAUUUAUGUUUUAAAGCAUGACAAUUACAAAGCAUUACUGUUACAUGGUGCGACGGUAUAAAAGUGAAAACGGGAUAUUAUUUGUUUGGAUGAUUUAUUUUUUCAGAUCCAGUGAUGGUAUUUCAAGUUUGGAAACAUGAGUUUAAGACGCCAUAAAUAUUCAUUCCAAAACAAAGGCGGGAUAAACAUUCUUUACAACAUACUUAUAAAUAAACUUUUAGUGUAUUAUUCCAUCCAGUGUUGACAGAGCGUCCACCAGCCAGGAGUAUUGCUUAAAAUCGUUUGUAUCCGAAUAGAUCCUCCACACCAUCACGGACCUCCGGGUCCUCCACAUCAUCACGGACCACCACAUCAUCAUGAACCACCACAUCACGGACCUCCACAUCACCACGGACCUCCACAUCACCAUGGACCUCCACCGCCACCCCAUGGCUGGCCUUCAUGUGGACAUCGCUCACAUUUCCCUGGUUGUAAUCACUGUCACGGUUGGAGGUGGUAGUGAUGAGUUUUAAAAAUUUUUACUGUACUUUUUUUAUUGUUAGUCUCAAAUAUCAGGAUAUAUCUUUAAUAUAAAAAUGCAAAGAUCGUUAAGUUAUGAUAAACAGUUUUGUUGUAGUGUCUUUAGAGGGCUUAGCGAAUAGUAGACUAUCUGUCCAUUAUAAUUUUUAUCACGAUGUUCAAAAAUCUGAGAAGAUUGUUCAAGACAAUGUUGGCAAGCCUACAAAUGAUGUUUUCAUGUAAAUGUUAUUUUCUAUUAAUAAAAAACUUGAAAAGAUUUAAAUAUUUGUUGAGGGUGUCAGAACGUUAGCUUCUAAAUUUGCAAAAGCUAAUAAUAAAAACAUAUCAGAUACUUGAAAAGAUGCUGAAAUCGCCGGCAAAGAAUGAAUGAGAGAACUUGUAAAAUGACGUGAAAAACAACUUUCAAUUCGAAAACCAGAGGCUAGUAGUUUAAGCCGAAUGACAAGUUUAAACAAACCUAACGUUGGACUUUUUUACGACAAUAUUAAACAGGCGCAUAGAAAAUAUGGUCCAAUUUCCCCAGAUAAAAUUUGGAACCUGGAUGAAACAGAGCUGAGCAUAGUUCAAGAACAAGGAGCAUAAUUGCUUCGAAAGGUGUAAAGCAGAUAGGCAGUGCUACUUCAACUGAAAGAGGGACUCUCGUAACUCUUCUUGGUGCAGUGAUUGGAAUCGGUAAUUCGUUGCCUCCUAUGUUGAUCUUUCCACGAGUCCAUUUUAAAGAAAGAAUGCUUUUUGGAGGACCAGUAGGAUGCAUCGGCACAGCAAACCCAUCAGGUUGUUCAAAUGAAAAAUCGUUUAUGAAAUGUUUGAUAUUUCAUGAAUUCUAUAAAAAGCUCUACGGAUGAUUGCAUCCUGUUAAUUCUAGAGCUUUAAAAAACUAUUACAACCAAGCCGUUCGAACCUGGCUUCUCAACAACAAAGGAAAAAAUACAUACAACGUUGCAGUGGCCUUGGAAACAGCAUAUUCUCAUGCCUUUAGUCCAGGUAAUAUCUUGUCCAGAUUUUGAAAAUUAGGAAUAUUCCCGUUAAAUGAAGACAUCUUUACUGACGAUUUCCUUUGUUCCACGUGACCGAUAAAAUAAGUCAAAUAUAAUUGUAAUUAAUUGGUUAAUUGAUUAAUUAAUUCAGGCAAUUAGGAUAUAAAUUUAAUUAAAAUAUUUGCAAUUUUAAAGAAUCUAUGGCUCAACUGCCUAGAAUUGUAAAAUAACAUUAAUUUUAUAGUAAUUAAUUAGUUAAUUAGUCCAGGCAGUUGAAAUAUAAUUUUAAUUAAAGUAACUACAAUUUUACAGAAUCUAUGACUUAACUGCCUAGAAUUGUAAAAUUUUUCAUUAACUAAUUAGUCCAAGCAAUUGGACCACAAUUAUUAUUUUUCAAUUCCAGGCAGUUGAGUCUUAAUUAAAAUUUAAAGCUCUUUAAUUAAAAUUACGAAUUUGCAGCCUGGUCAGAGAUAUCAAUAUGCGAUUUUGAGAACUUUUUAAGUUUUUAUGCCUUUCACAACUAGUUAAAAUUAGGCUAUUAUACAUACAUAUGUUAUAUUACGAUUCAAUUUAAAAUUUUCAAAAAAAGACGCAAAAGUUUUAAGACAGCGCCCAGUAGCGUCUACGGUCAAAUGCAAUUCUUAAUUUUUAUAAAGUAUGAUAUAUACCAAUAAGCAUUCCUUUAAACGAGAAAAACUAAUGAGUUCGAUUACCCAAUCAGUUUAAUAAAGUUACAUCAAUAUUUGCGAAAUAAUCAAACCAGAUAUAUUAGGAGUAAAGUGUUUAUUAAUAUCUUAGCAGAGCGCUUUUGGCUUUCAGCAUAUGAGCAUUUUAAGCAAGACUACAAAUAUCACACAACUAAAUGUAGAUGAAUGUACAAUAUUUGAAAAAAGGGAAGACGUUAGUACUCUCCCAUGUUGAGGUUUACAUUUAAAUUAACUGACAAUUAGCACUGUUGAUGGCUCAUAUGCGAAAAGCGCUCUGCUAAGAUAUUAAAAAACACUUUGCUUCUAAUAUAUCUAGUUUGAUUUUUUCGUACUAUCCUGUGAGUAACAUUUAAUUAAAAACAGAUCUAACCUUCCUUCACCAUUUAAUUUUUCUGGAUAGGUUUCUAGGAAGGCCUAAAGAAAAAAAUUGAAAUUUGUUAAGGAUUUUGGUGCCAUAAUGUAGAAUUUCUUUUGCCUAAAUUUGUGAAAAUCCCAUUCUAAGAAAUACUAAUAAUUUUCACAAAUUUCUCAUGGCGCUUUAUUAUUUUUUUAUUAGGCCUUAUGACUAAUAUCCGAAACACAGCUGAGAAAAUAUAUUCUUAGUGGAACACCCGGACAUAUUCUAUCAAGUCACUUUAAAAUGUAAUUAAAUAGAAACUACAAUUAUUUGACUAGCAUAGACAAUAAACUUUAAUAAAUUAGUCUUUUAUAAUGACCACCCACUAGCCUUUGACAAAGCUGUGCGUUCAAACAACUCGUGUCGUACUUGGGUACGAGUUUUACAAUCUACAAUAUGUAAAUGGUUUAUUCGUACAAUUCUAUUAAUUUGUUUAGCAGCUUGUCUUAUAUAGCUGAUGGUAUAUCGUAUACCUUAUUUUUUUAUAAAUCUAAUGAGGUAAGGCAUAGUGCUCUCACACAUUUAGAUAAUACGAGUAGUAAUAAUAAUAAUAACCCCCGUGGGAGACCGAGAUCAAAGAAUAGUACUCCGUUAUGCUCUGCUUGUCGUAAAAGGCGACUAAAGGGGAAACCUGGGCAACCAAUGUUAAAUGGUAGCAGCACGAACUUAAUAAAUAUACUGCUAAUACAUAUGGCCACAAUACCCAAAAAUGACCACUGCCUGGUGGCCACCAUGUUUAUAGUGGUUGUGUCCUUUUGAUGUUGGUCACUCUGAACAUUUUUAGUAUUACCAACAAAAAAUAUAUUAAAUAACGGUAAUAAAGUUAACGACGCUGACGUUUGGCGUGUGAGUAUAGCGGAUUGCCUAGUUUUUGGUCGAUUUGUAAACGACGCUUGGGUAUAUCGUCUGGAACAGGCCAUGUAUCUUCCUCCUUAUUUAAUACGUAAAUAAUGUAUCAUCAUCUUUAUUUGAAGGUUUUUGGUUCUGUUUCUCAAAACCGAAUUAUUGUCAAUUGUCUGUGUUGUUUAUGAUAAAACAAUAUAUUUUUACUAUAUAAACCCUUGCUAAUUACAAACCUUCAUAAAAUCAUCUAUAUUUUGAUUUUUAUAGAUGGUUGUACCUAUUAAUGUGGAAACAUGAAAGGAAAGUAAGACUCGUCAUAGUAAAAAUAGAAAGAAAAUAAAAGUGUUUUUAACUGAAUUUGUUAAAUAAAUACAAGCAAAAGUUUAAAUGAAGAUCAUCAUUUUCAUGGUAUUAGGAUUUAUAAGAUUUAAAUUUAAGUUUAGAUUUAUCAGAUUCAAAAUUAUCAGAAUAAUAAAAUAAAUAUUUUACAGUACAUGCAUCUAAUCCAAGUUGAUUGAAACUUUGUCUCAUUUUAGGAGAGAAUUACUUUCUUUCAUAAAUUUUAACGAAAAUCUCAAAGAAGUACAAGAAAAUCACAGAUUUAAUGCAACAAUCUCAAAUUCUUACCUAUGUGUAACUUUCUAUUUUGAAUUUUUGUAAACAUAACCUCUCAAAAACUUUAAUUGUUUUGUUUCCCUAUAGAUGGCACAACUAAAAUUUGUCAGAGUGACCAACAUCGAAAGGACACAAUCACGCAAAAUGGCGGCCCCCUAGUAGUGCUCAUUUACUUUUCAUUGAAUUGGCAGUCCAGGUAUAUUUAUGAAGUUCGUGGGUAGCAGAUACCCAUAUAAAUGGAGAAUAACCGAAGCCUCAGAGAAAGGUCGCCAGGGGAUCGCCAGGGCAUGUCUGGAGCCGGCGCUGGACAUAACAGCAUGCGGACUGUUGGUGGCACGGUGCUGAGGAGGCUCAGACGGGCUUCUGUCAUACAAGAAACUACAGCUCCAUCGCAACUCCAAUUUGCACAUGGUCUACAAACAUCAACCAGGGCCCAACCUGUUAAAAGUGUUGCACAGGAAACUUAUCCAGUGCUCACUCAAACAGGGUUACCGAGACAGCGCUUAAAAUAUACAUUUGCCAUGAAUUUAUCUAUAAUGUGCAUUUUCAGAUGAUUGGCUACAGAAAACAGCUACAUGCCGAAUUCUGCAGAAAAUAUCCAAAUGUGCACGUGACUGAGAGUCCCUGACCAAUACUGCGUCAUUCUUAGAAACAACUUGAUCCCAGAAACUCGAAUUAACUCUAUUAAAAGGGAAAUUGCAGCACAAAUAAAUUAUCAAAAGGCCUUAAAUGAAGGAAGGGACAAUUUGCAGGACAAUGACGACGAAGAGAGAUCAGAAGUGAAGAAGAAAACUUACACUCACCAGACCAAGCAUCAUUACCAGAAGUGAUAAUAAAUUAAGAGGCCUAAAACGAAGACCAGAAUAAUGAACAUAAUGAUAAAGUACAUUUUUAGCUUAGAACAAAGUUUAGAAGGGUAAUGACAGAGUAUGAAAGCACAAACCCCUCAACAAAACCAGCUUUUCCUAGAGUUAACUCUUUCCGCAAAUUGGCAAUUUUUCUUAAUGCUGCUUACAGUUACGAUACUUGAACAGCUUCAAAGCUGCUAAAGUGUUACACAUAAUGAAAGACCGACACCGCCUUAGGAAAGCAGACUAUAAACAAAGAUUAAAGAUAUUAGGAAAGACAUUGGCCGGCUAAAGGAAUAUAUCGGAGAUAUCAGAACCAGAAAAGUAUAAGAAAGAGUAGAGGAAACAAUGCGUCAGACCCAACAAUAUACGCAGCAGGACCCAGAAAACUGUACUCCGGAACAAUGCCUAGACACCCUUAAACAAAAGUUAUCUAUUUUUUCAGGUCGCUUAAGAAAGUAUAAAUCCAGUAAUAAAAUAAAACAAGAUAAUUUCCUUUUUUGAAUGCUCAGAGAAGCAAUUUUAUCAAAAGCUUAACGACAAAUUUCUCACUAAAGAAAACAUGUAGGGGUUCUGGGGACUCAACUAACAACACCUAGUGAAUGCAACCUCGACACUGAAUGCUUGACUGAAGAACGAGCAAAGUGUCAAAAAUGGUAGUUUUUCCAUUUUCAGUUGAGGAAGAGACUAACGUCAGAAAAAAGCUACAUAACGAGAAAGCUGCAGGCCCAGAUCAUGCCCAAAAUUACUGGAUAAAGAAAUUAUGAUCAACACAUCAACAACUGACCGACAGGACUGAAGGUAACAUUUACCUCUUGUUCAAGGACUGCCAAAACACUCAAGAUUCGGCUAAAUAUUAAUCAAACAGAACGUAUUUACAGACAUUAGUGACCAAAAUAGCAUCAUAGCGGCUCAACAGACAGGAUGUACCACAGGUGCCAUGGGGUGUAAAGAACAAGUGUUAUUAUUAUUAUAUUAUUAUUGACUCCAUAGUUUGCAAUCGGGCAUUUAAGAAACAAGAGAAACCUUUUUGUAGCAUACAUUGACUACCGAAAAGCUUUUGAUGCAGUUCCACAUAAAGGAGUUACUAAUGUACUUAAAUUGUACAAAUAACUACAUAAUUUCCUUUUUAGAAUUUACUAUGGCAUCUUGCCGAACAUCAAUAAAACUUCAGGUGCCUAACGGUAACUGCAUUGGAACUAAUAUGAUUUCUAUUCGUAACGGUAUAUUCAAGGGAAAGUCUAUCUUAUUGUGGUCAAAGUAAGCUGAUUUAAAGCAACUUAUCUUGGUCCAAAGUUGCUUCUUUUUUUAGUUAUAGGGUGUUAAAUUUAGAAAAUCAAGAUCAUAUUUAUUUCAUAUUUUUGAACAUUUUGCGAUAUACCAAUUUGAAAAUUGGUACCUGAGAAACUCGAAAAUGGGCCUCUUUUUACUGUCUUUCUAGAUUUGUAUAUUAGUAUAUGAGACAUUGAGAAACAUUAAGAGCGACAAAAAAAAACGAAAAAUAAAAAAUGCAAAAGUCAACAAACCAAAACCUACCUCUAUAUAAAACAACUUAAUCUUAAAAACAAUAAGAAAAAAAUAGAAAGAAACCCUACGAGUUUAUCCUUACAUUUAAUUGAUUGCAGGAAUCUCGUUGUAGAUAAUUACAGCAUUUUACGAAAAUCUAAAUCUGAAAUAUGUUAAAUAAUACCGAGGAAUGCCUAUCCUUGUCUUAGCCUAUCAAAAAAUCUGUUGACAUUAUGUACUUCAUCUCUACGUCGCAAUUUGUUAAACGAAUAGGAAGAUGAGUAUACAGGUUGGGAAAUUAAAGAUCACGCACUAUCUAAAAUGGCGAGAACAUUUUUGGGGCUAUUUAUAGAUUUCUCUCGAGCUUUCGAUUAUGUCGAUCAUAAGAUUCUAGUGCAAAAAGUAAUAUCUUACGGACACGAUACAAUAUGAUACGAUACAAUACGAUUUCAAUUCUUGAUCAGAAGGGAGAUAAGGUGGAAGUGAGAUAAUGCAAAUUUCCCUCCUUGAAAAACAGAAUUUCCCUCCUGCAUAUCUAAAUUAACGUGUGUUUUUAUAGGAGUGAUUCAUUUUGAAUAAACUCCAUAGCUAUACUCCAUAUUUUAACUUAUUAAGUAUUUUUCUCAUUUAUUCAGAAACAGUAAAAAAAGUGCUAAUAUUAAAAAGGUAACUUUUAAAAUAAGGUUACAAUUUUCAUUCGCAUCUAUAGUUAAAGGGGUGAACUUUAUGCGUGUUUGAAUUUUUGAAGUAAAACUUGGGUUGGGCAGGAAACUGGCGAAUGCGUUACGAAAAGUGUGGUCAGGUGAGGCGAACGAGAAGGAGAUAUGAGUUAGUGGAGAUAGAAAGAGUAUAUACAAACAUAUGAUAUAUAUAUACUUAUAAAUAGAGAUAAAUAAGUUUUACUUCAGUCGUGUGGUCUCAAGCACUAAUUUUUAUUUUUACAUUUUUUAUAAGAACAAGAUUAUUAGGAGUGAUAUGUCAUUAAAUCGACACUUGUAACGAUACUGUAAAAUUGUAAGUAUUACAUUCUCUAUUUUUAAACAUCGUUGCAAAAUACACUCCUAAAUUUACCUUCCGAGAAAAUCGGGAUAAACGAGUUGUCAUAUUUUUCAUUGUUUUUUAUUGACGCAGUAAUAAACGAAAGAUAAGAUUAAAAAGUUAAUUUAAUAUAUAAAUCCGAAAUACAAAAUUUAAUUCUAGAACUUGUUAAUCUGUAAGUUGUUUUGUGUCUUGAAUUAAUUGUUUUAUAAUAAUGCCACCACCACCACCAUUUGGUCCUCCACACCACCAUGGACCUCCAGGUCCUCCUGGUCCUCCACAUCAUCACGGACCUCCACAUCAUCAUGGACCACCACAUCACGGACCACCACAUCACCAUGGACCACCACAUCACCAUGGACCACCACCGCCACCCUACGGCUGGCCUUCAUGUGGACAUCGUUCGAGAUUCUUUGGUUGCAAUCACUGCCAGGGAUGGAGGUGGUAGUGAUGAGCUUUAAUAUUUUUUAGUGUUAUUAGUUUUUGCUAAUUUAAUAAUCUACUGGAUUUAUACAUGAUGAAAUGUUUUAACUUUUUAUUUUUAUAUUAUAAUAUAAUGUUUCAGCUUUAGAAAGAGGUGCUACAGAAUAUUAUAAUUAAAAUAGUCUAGAACUAUCUCGAUACACACCUUUGGUAGAUUACCCUAUAACAAUAUAUCGUAAUGUUGUUAUAGCGGUGUUGAUACAUCGAUAUGUAUAGACAUUUUUAAUAUCAUGAGAAAGUCCUCAAUAAUUUCAGAAGUUAAAAUUUCCUAUUGCUUGGUAUGCAAUUUUUAAGAAGAAUGAUUAAAUACUGAUUUAAAAACUUUACAUAUUUUGGUACAUAUAGUGUUUUUGUUUUUAAUAAAAUCAGCGACGUUAAUGAAGAA